rnacentral:lncRNA from 1 species
CCCUUUUCCAGCAGGCAAUAUGUUGACAACAACGUCAAUAGAUCAGCUGUUCUCCAGGCUGAGCCCUAUUGCAUCCUUUCAGUUAAUUAUCCAUUAUCUCUCUACUAUUUACAUCUAAUGAGUAUUUAUUUUGUUUAAUGGAACAACCUCACAUCACCCAAUGCCUCAAUUAUUGUAUGUAUUAAAGUGGCUCAAAAAUUUUAAUUUUUGGUAUCUAAAUUUUUCACAGGGAAAAAGAUGCAGAACAAAAAGAACUUUUCCUGCAACAACAAUCCUUAGAAAUGUACCCAGCAGUGCGAAGGCGACAGCAUGAUGAAUCCAGGGAUUCUCAUCGUAGUCGCCAUGAACAGCGAAGAGAAAGAAGAGAAGAGAAGGAAUCCAGGAAAGAACAAGAAAGAAUGUUCAGGAACAAAGAAUUGGAACGAGACAGAGAAAGAGAUCUCAGAAACCGUGAAGAAGAAGAAGAAAGAUUCAUGCGAACAGAAAGAGCCAGGAAUGAAUCUGCUGAGCUGAAAUUAUUAAAAUUGAAGGAAGUUGACUUGCGUGAAAAAUUAAAAAGAAAAAAGUAGACCCAAAAAGAACGCGAGCAGGUAGAAAGGGAUCAACGAAGAGAUAGAAUAUUGGCGGCAGAAAAGAUAAGGAUGCCUUUAAGCGAGAACUUGAGGAAAGAAGGAAGAAGAACUACGGGCAAGAAAGAGAACAGGAUGCCAGGAGCCUAAGUCGCAGUAAAAGUCGUAGUCCUAAUCAUAAGGAAUCAGACGACGAUCAAGAUCGACGGAUGGAGACUGAUGAUGCAGAGUUGGUUUAUCUCUCAAGUGAGUCAAGAAGUCCAUUGGUAAUGGAGCCCUUACCUCAGACGUCACCCAUGCUGCGAUCACCAAGUCCAAUGUCUAGCCAGAGCUCAAGUCCAAAAUCCAAACACAACUCUGAUAACGCUGAAACGCAUGAUAGUGAUACUGAUACUAGCCGGUCUUCUAAUUCCUCCUCUACCCCCGAAUCAUCUGAUGAUCAAGACAGGAAUAAUGGGCGAAACCGAAAUGACAAAAUAUUGAAGGAUUAUCUCCUGAAAGAGAACAUAUAA